GCCUUAUCAGGAGAGGUGGAGGGACGGGCCCUAUGAAACCCGGCAGCCAAUGCCAGUUAUGGUGUGAGGUGCCAAUUCCCGCGGUAUAUCCGGAAGAUGAGGA
rnacentral:ncRNA from 2 species